rnacentral:tRNA from 1 species
GUGGGUAUAGCUCGGCUGUAGAGUGUGUGCCUAGCAUGCAUGAGGUCCUGGGUUCAAUUCCCUAAUACCUCCA